rnacentral:rRNA from 1 species
AUUGAACGCUGGCGGCAGGCCUAACACAUGCAAGUCGAGCGAGCGGCGGAAGGGUGAGUAAUGUAUGGGGACUGCCCGAUAGAGGGGGAUAACUACUGGAAACGGUAGCUAAUACCGCAUACUAACGGAUAACCCAUAUGGGAUUAGCUAGUAGGUGGGGUAAAGGCUCACCUAGGCGACGAUCUCUAGCUGGUCGGAGAGGAUGAUCAGCCACACCUGGAAUGAGACACGGCCCAGAACAUUACGGAGGCAGCAGUGGGUAAUAGUGCACAAUGGGCGCAAGACUGAUGCAGCCAGGCCGCGUGGAUGAAGAAGGUCUUAGGGUCGUAAAGCACUUUAGUCGGGGAGGCGUUACCCGAAGAAGAAGCCCCGGCGAACUCCGUGCCAGCAGGCGCGGGAAUAC